rnacentral:rRNA from 1 species
GAGUUUGAUCCUGGCUCAGGACGAACGCUGACGGUGUGCUUUAGACAUGCAAGUCGAACGAGAAAGCCCUUCGGGGUUAGUAAAGUGGCGAACGGGUGCGUAACACGUGGGCAAUCUGCCCCUCGCAGGGGGACAACCGGAGGAAACUCCGGCUAAUACCCCGUAAGCUUUCAGGGUCGCAUGGCCUUGUAAGGAAAGGUAGCUUCGGUCAUCCGGCGAGGGAUGAGCCCGCGGUACAUUAGCUAGUUGGUGGGGUAACGGCCUACCAAGGCGACGAUGUAUAGCUGGUCUGAGAGGGUGAUCAGCCACACUGGGACUGAGACACG